rnacentral:rRNA from 1 species
UACGUAGGGUGCGAGCGUUGUCCGGAAUUAUUGGGCGUAAAGAGCUUGUAGGCGGUCUGUCGCGUCUGCUGUGGAAAAUCCGGGGCUCAACCCCGGACUUGCAGUGGGUACGGGCAGACUAGAGUGUGGUAGGGGAGACUGGAAUUCCUGGUGUAGCGGUGAAAUGCGCAGAUAUCAGGAGGAACACCGAUGGCGAAGGCAGGUCUCUGGGCCACUACUGACGUGAGAAGCGAAAGCAUGGGGAGCGAACAGG